UCUUUUCAGAUUAUUUCAACAAGCAAAGUAAGUGUCAGCAGUUUUUACUAUAAUUGCCAAAUGGUAUUAGGAAUAUUACCUUUCCUCCCUUGCUUACAACAAAAACAAAUACAAAAAUUAAAGUUAUAGGUAAAGAUAUAUUAUCAAAGGGGAUUUUUUUUUAGACAAGAGUCUCGCUCUUGUCACCAAGGCUGGAGUGCAGUGGCGCAAUCUCAGCUCACUGCAACCUCCGCCUCCGGAGUUCAAGCGAUUCUCCUGCCUCAGCCUCCUGAGUAGCUGGGAUUACAGGCUCCCACCACCAUGCCUGUAAUCCCAGCUAAUUUUUUUCAAGAAAAGGGUGGACUUGAAUGUUUAUUUACAGGAUGCUG
rnacentral:lncRNA from 1 species